rnacentral:rRNA from 1 species
UGGGGAAUUUGGACAAUGGGGCAACCUGAUCCAGCAAUGCCGCGUGUGUGAAGAAGGCCUUCGGGUUGUAAAGCACUUUUGUCCGGAAAGAAAACGCCGUGGUUAAUACCCGUGGCGGAUGACGGUACCGGAAGAAUAAGCACCGGCUAACUACGUGCCAGCAGCCGCGGUAAUACGUAGGGUGCAAGCGUUAAUCGGAAUUACUGGGCGUAAAGCGUGCGCAGGCGGUCCGCUAAGACAGAUGUGAAAUCCCCGGGCUUAACCUGGGAACUGCAUUUGUGACUGGCGGGCUAGAGUAUGGCAGAGGGGGGUAGAAUUCCACGUGUAGCAGUGAAAUGCGUAGAGAUGUGGAGGAAUACCGAUGGCGAAGGCAGCCCCCUGGGCCAAUACUGAGCUC